UGAUAUUGAGGUAGGGACAUAAUCGGAACAUAGGGUGUUUGAAGAUGGCAAAUUUCAUUUGGUGCUCUUCAUUUUUACGGUUUCUCUUUCUCUUUGGUUCACUCAUCAUCUCUUUCGUUCACUUUCACUUGCUCUUUCGGUAUCGCAUCAUCUAUUUUGUUCUUGGGUUUGUCUCGCAUCAUCUAUCCAUCCAAUCUGGUGUUGGGUUUUCUCCUUCUCUCGUUUCUG
rnacentral:lncRNA from 1 species